GAUAAGAACGCAGUGAAAUGCGAUAAGUAAUGUGAAUUGCAGAAUUCAGUGAAUCAUCGAAUCUUUGAACGCACAUUGCGCCCGCCAGUAUUCUGGCGGGCAUGCCUGUCUGAGCGUCAUUUCAACCCUCAUGCCCCUAGGGCGUGGUGUUGGGGAUCGGCCAAAGCCCGCGAGGGACGGCCGGCCCCUAAAUCUAGUGGCGGACCCGUCGUGGCCUCCUCUGCGAAGUAGUGAUAUUCCGCAUCGGAGAGCGAUGAGCCCCUGCCGUUAAACCCCCAACUUUCCAAGGUUGACCUCAGAUCAGGUAGGAAUACCCGCUGAACUUAAGCAUAUCAAUAAGCGGAGGA
rnacentral:misc_RNA from 1 species